CUCAGGAUGAACGCUAGCGACAGGCCUAACACAUGCAAGUCGAGGGGCAUCACAAGGCAGCAAUGCCUGGGUGGCGACCGGCGCACGGGUGAGUAACGCGUAUGCAACCUGCCCGCGACCGUGGGAUAACCCGGGGAAAUCCGGACUAAUACCGCAUGGCGCGGCUCUCCCGCAUGGGAGUGCCGCCAAAGAGUUCUCGGUCGCGGAUGGGCAUGCGUUCCAUUAGCUGGUUGGCGGGGCAACGGCCCACCAAGGCGUCGAUGGAUAGGGGAACUGAGAGGUUUGUCCCCCACACUGGAACUGAGACACGGACCAGACUCCUACGGGAGGCAGCAGUGAGGAAUAUUGGUCAAUGGGCGGGAGCCUGAACCAGCCAAGUCGCGUGAAGGACGACGGCCCUACGGGUCUUAAACUUCUCUUUCACGGGAACAACGUGGGGCACGGGUGCCCUAUUGAGCGUACCGUGCGAAUAAGCAUCGGCUAACUCCGUGCCAGCAGCCGCGGUAAUACGGAGGAUGCGAGCGUUAUCCGGAUUUAUUGGGUUUAAAGGGUGCGCAGGCGGGCCCUUAAGUCGGCGGUGAAACCUGUCCGCUCAACGGGCAGACUGCCGUCGAAACUGAGGGUCUUGAGUAAGGUUGAAGCAGGCGGAAUUCGUCGUGUAGCGGUGACAUGCAUAGAUAUGACGAGGAACCCCGAUUGCGCAGGCAGCUUGCUAAGCCGGAACUGACGCUCAUGCACGAAAGCGUGGGUAUCAAACAGGAUUAGAUACCCUGGUAGUCCACGCCGUAAACGAUGAUUACUAGUUGCGCGCGACAUGACUGCGCGUGACCGAGCGAAAGCGUUAAGUAAUCCACCUGGGGAGUACGCCGGCAACGGUGAAACUCAAAUGAAUUGACGGAAGGGCGAACUCUGCAGAGAUCCAU
rnacentral:rRNA from 1 species